AAUAUUUACAACUCAGCCUGUAUUCAUUAACGUUCAUUUAUAUAUAUAUAUAUAUAUAUAUAUAUAUAUAAAUGAACGUUAAUGAAUACAGGCUGAGUUGUAAAUAUU